rnacentral:rRNA from 1 species
CGUAGGUGGCAAGCGUUGUCCGGAUUUAUUGGGUUUAAAGGGUGCGUAGGCGGUCAUGUAAGUCAGUGCUGAAAUAUCCCGGCUUAACCGGGAGGGUGGCAUUGAUACUGUAUGACUUGAGUAAAGUUGAGGUUGGCGGAAUUGACGGUGUAGCGGUGAAAUGCUUAGAUAUCGUCAAGAACACCUAUUGCGAAGGCAGCUAACUAAGCUUUAACUGACGCUGAGGCACGAAAGUGUGGGGAUCAAACAGGAUUAGAUACCCUGGUAGUCCACACUGUAAACGUUGAUUACUCGCUGUUGGCGAUACACAGCCAGCGGCUUAGCGCAAGCGAUAAGUAAUCCACCUGGGGGAGUACGCCGGCAACGGUG